rnacentral:tRNA from 1 species
ACGCCAGUGGUGAAACGGUUAUCAUGCUUGCCUUCCAAUUGCUUCCGUAAGCACAAUGGGGCAGCAAGCGGCGGGGGUUCGACUCCCUCCUGGCGUA